ensembl:lncRNA
UUUUUGCUAUAUAUAGAUGACACAGCCUCUAUAAUUUCUUCAACAAAAACAUGUGGACAUCACAACCCUUACAAAAAUGAACCAUGGUUUCAUUGUAGUAAAACUGCUUAAUUUUCUUUUGCAUGAUUUCUUGCUGUUUGUUGAUAAAUUCUGAGCAAAAGACAAUACUGUUGAAAUAUAUAUAUAUAUAUAUAUAUAUGGUUUAAUAUGGUUGGACUCUCUAUUACAAAUAAGUUAUAAAUGUUCACAAAUUCAAAUUACAAAUGACCAAAACCAACUUGCACAUUUGUGAAUACAAUAAUUGUUAAAUAUAAGUCUUUAAAAAUGUAAAUCCAAAAUCAACAAGAAAAAAAAGAAUAAAAAAGAAAAUAAAAAGAAAUAAAUGACA